rnacentral:rRNA from 1 species
GGGGGCCGAGUAGAGUGGCGCACGGGUGAGUAACACGUAGGUAAUUUGCCUUCGGGUGGGGAAUAACAGCCGGAAACGGCUGCUAAUACCGCAUAAUGCAGCGGCUCGACAUCGAGACAGUUGUUAAAGCGGGGGAUUCCGCAAGGAACCUCGCGCCUGAAGAGAAGCCUGCGGCAGAUUAGCUAGUUGGCAGGGUAAUGGCCUACCAAGGCGACGAUCUGUAACCGGCCUGAGAGGGCGGUCGGUCACACUGACACUGACAUACGGGUCAGACUCCUACGGGAGGCAGCAGUCGGGAAUUUUGGGCAAUGGGCGAAAGCCUGACCCAGCAACGCCGCGUGAAGGAUGAAAUUUUUCGGAAUGUAAACUUCGCAAGAACGGGAAGAAUAAGUGGGGGAUAAUACCCCCCAUGAUGACGGUACCGUUUGUAAGCUCCGGCUAACUCCGUGCCAGCAGCCGCGGUAAUACGGGGGGAGCAAGCGUUGUUCGGAUUUACUGGGCGUAAAGGGCGCGUAGGCGGUCGUGACAAGUCACUUGUGAAAUCUCCGGGCUUAACUCGGAACGGUCAAGUGAUACUGUCGGACUAGAGUGCGGAAGGGGCAACUGGAAUUCUCGGUGUAGCGGUGAAAUGCGUAGAUAUCGAGAGGAACACCUGCGGCGAAGGCGGGUUGCUGGGCCGACACUGACGCUGAGGCGCGAAAGCCAGGG